rnacentral:rRNA from 1 species
UACGAAGGGUGCAAGCGUUACUCGGAAUUACUGGGCGUAAAGCGUGCGUAGGUGGUUCGUUAAGUCUGAUGUGAAAGCCCUGGGCUCAACCUGGGAAUGGCAUUGGAAACUGGCGGGCUAGAGUGCGGUAGAGGGUAGUGGAAUUCCCGGUGUAGCAGUGAAAUGCGUAGAGAUCGGGAGGAACAUCCGUGGUGAAGGAGCCUGCCGGGACCAGCACUGACCAUGAGGCACGAAAGCGUGGGGAGCAAACAGG